rnacentral:SRP_RNA from 1 species
CUCCGGGCUCCGUGCAGUGGGCGGCUGCAAACCCCGCCAGGUCCGGAAGGAAGCAACGGUAGUGGUUUAGCUUGCGUGCCGCGGAUCACCCGGGGUCU